CCUCUAGCGGGGUAAGACGUGCAACACAGCUCUCUUACUCACUCACACUCACUCACACGCACUCACUCACUCACUCCCACACUUUAUCUGUAUCUCACUCACGGUAUCCGGCAGAUGAGUGUCUCGACCGGCUGUCUCGCGGUUUCCUGUGGUGCGGGAGUCAACUUAGUGUGAAAUUUGAGUGUUAAUGCUGAACUACUUGCUCGGCCUGGGCACCCAUGGUCGACCAUACUGAGAGGCGGCAGAUUAUGACACGCCACUGUAUGACACACGUGGCUAUGACUGGUGCAUGACAGUUGCCUCAGGAUGGGAGCAGUGAGCUGUCAUGCGGGUGGUGGACGUGGCGUGACAACUACUGUCAUAACGAGAGCAGUGACAAUGUGUAAGGAGAUGCACCACUGCUACCACGUCUGACAGUGAAACAACGGUGAACAGUUUAAGUAAUUUAACAGAAUAUAAGACGUAAUAAGAAAAGUGUGGCUUAAUAACAGUGAAAUUAAUGAAUUGUGUCAAAUCUUGGAAGACAUUGAGAGUGUGACGUCAUUAAACAUAGUGAUGUAAAGUUUUCUUAUCUCUUAGUAAGAAUUAUUAACAAUUCCUGGAGGGAUUUAAGGUUUUUAUGGUGUACUUGAGUGUUUACUGGGUACUCGUGAAGCACUUUUAGACGGUUUAAGAUGUAAUAAUAAUUGGUGUAGUUACCCUUGAAAAAUGUUUCGUUUUCUAAACAGAUUAAUGAAAAAGUAUGGCAAGAUUAUUCUUUACAGUGAUGCUUCAGACGUGAUAUAACUCUUAAAAUGGAUAACACUUCAGGUUCAAGGGUCAAUUAUGGGUUACGGGGCAACAUAGAGUCAGAAGUGCCUCCCGGAGAAGAUCUAUUGACCUCGGCAACGACGGAGAUGGUUCUGAAGGAAUUCCUGUCGUCAGUGGGCAGGAGUAUGGCCGGACCUCAGCCGUCACGCACUGAGUAUGUCAACCUCACGGCCAUUAAGAUCAAAUAUGACGCCCUGGCUGCCCUCACUUCCACGCCGCCCACGCCCCUCCUCUCACUCUGCCUACCCGACACCCCUGACCUCCUGGCCAUGGGCGUGUGGAGCGCCUGGGCGUGGGUAAUGAUAACGGUGUUGUUGUGCCGCAGUUUAUGUACCCGCACCCCACCUUUCACCACGCCCAUACUCCUUCACGCCCACGUUCUCCGCACUCUUACACUGCUGGUCCUCACUCUGGUCCACGUAGCCGCAUGCGGGGAGGCGGGGCUGAGGUACUGGAGGUCCGCAUCACCGCACAUACUACUGGUGCCUGCCGCAGCUGCCGCCCUCUCCACCACCCUCAUCACCGCCGUGUUCUACCAUACUAUAGAGUGCUGGCGCUGUCCUGCCUAUAUCGUGGUGACGGUGGGCGUGUGGGCGUGUGGGGCGGGUGUGGGUGUGGUGAGAGUGCGGCAGAUAGUGGGCGUAGGCGUGCCAGAGUGGGCGGUGUACCCUGGGGUGGUGGUGGGCGGCCUAGUACUCACUGGCAUCAUGUUUAUCAUCGACCUGUGGACAUUACUGCGCUGGACAUACCGUCAACGACAUUCAGAAGUGCUGGAGAUCACCCCGGGAGCUGAGGAGGUGGGCGCGGGCGGCAUAGGAGGCACGGGGGGCGUGGGUAGCGCGGGUGUUACCUAUCGCCACCCAUUGGUAGGUCUGGCCACCCGUGCGACCUUCGCCUGGUUCCUGAAUGUGCUGAGGCUGGGCUGGCGGCGACCUCUGGAGUUCUCUGACUUCGGCAAGUUACCGAGGGAGGAGGAGGCUCGAUACCAGUACGACAGGUUCUUUAAGCAGUACCAGAGAGCUCAGGUCAACUCAAGCACUCCAGGUCAAGUAGGGUGGGAGGUCAGGUCACCGUCACUGUGGAAGGUGUUUGCCAGCAUCUACUGGAGGGAGAUGCUGGCUGGUGGAGUCUUUAAACUACUGGGUGAUGGAGUGAACGUCGUGGGCCCUCUUGCUAUUGGUCUCAUUGUCACCUACGUCACGCAGGUCCAGGAUGGCACUUUAGUUCAUCACGGUGUAGUGGUCAGCGAGCUGUACUACGUGGGGUGGAAGGAGGUGUUGAGGAACGGCUGGGUGGUAGCAGUGGUGGCCCUUGUAGCUGCCUUAGCACAGUCCACCUUCAGUCAGGCCUCUUCACACCUCGUGGCCAUGGAGGGUAUCCACGUGAAGGCCGCCCUCCAGGCCAUGAUCUACCGCAAGUCCCUCCGGUUAUCGAGUAGGACCUUGGCUGAAGAUCCCCCUGCGGCCACUGAGUCAACCACUACCGACGGGAACCCCAAAGCAGGUGUGAAGGUGUCAGGGGGCGGGACCAGAGGGAGUGUGGACGCCGGCAGUGUCAUUAACCUGAGCUCUGAGGACGCUGACAACCUUAUGACUUUCUUCAUGCACUGCCACUACAUCUGGGCCAUCCCUCUCAAGGUGAGCGUGAUCAUGGUGUUGCUGUGGGUACAAUUGGGCAUAUCUGCCGUGAUCGCUGCCGUGGUGGGGAUCCUGGUGUUGACGCCCCUCCAGUGUCUACUGUGUAAGAAGAUUGGUGCGGUGAAUAAGAAUUUUCUGGACGUGAGUGAUGACCGGCUUCGUCAGACACACGAACUAGUGACGGGGGUGAAGCUGGUGAAGGUGCAUGCCUGGGAGGACGUGUUCAUUAAGCGCAUCACCGCCGUCAGACACAAGGAACUCAAGCUCCUCCAACACGACUCUAUACUCAGAGCCCUUAUGACCUUCCUGACGCAGGGGUCGGGUGUGAUCGUGUGUUUGGUCACCUUCGGCCUCUAUUCGUGGCUAGAGUCGGCGGCACUAGAGCCAGCCAGGGUCUUCUCCGGCUUGGCACUCUUCAACCAGCUCACAGUGCCACUCUUCAUUCUCCCCAUCAUCGUCUCACACACCAUCACGGCCAUGAACAGCACACGACGCCUUCAGAAAUUCUUCAGUUCCCCGGAAGUAGAAGGACCUAAGACUCCAAAGACUCCUAUCACGUUGAGGAUCCCCCGAGGAGGAGGAGGAGGAGGAGGUCAGACUUCCCUAGGAGCCAAGCUGAACCUCAAGGAAAAUAAGUUACUGGAUGACAACAAGACGGUCAGGUUGUCUCAGGUCACCGAGGAGAGCAGGCCUACAUCAACGUGUUCGAUGGCGUCAACAGAAUCCAAGACCUCAAGCUCGACUUCAGCCAAGGAGAAGGUCGACCUCAACUCCUCCACCCUCAACAGCGACUCAGAGGAGGAGCUGGAGUUUGAGGGAUGGAAGAAGAGGAAGAAUGGUGGCGUCCGGAUGACAUCAGAGGAGCGUGAGGUGGCCGUGAGCAUACAGAGCGGCACCUUCACCUGGGAGCAUCGUGGCCACCUGACCGUCCUUGAGAAUAUCACGACCGAGAUGGCCACAGGAGGGCUGACGGUGGUGGUGGGAGGCGUCGGGGCAGGCAAGACCUCCCUCCUGCUGGCGCUGCUGGGGGAGAUGCAUACACUGAGAGGACAGCUACGGUGGACAGGGGAGAUGUCCGUGGCGUACGUGUCUCAACAUCCGUGGCUCAUGAACUCAACCCUGAAGGACAAUGUUGUGUUCGGCCGACGACUACUGAUGCGGCGGUAUCAGAGAGUCCUACAAGCCUGUGCCCUCACCCCUGACAUUGAGAUCCUUCCUGCAGGAGACCAGACGGAGAUAGGAGAGAGAGGCAUCAAUCUCUCAGGGGGACAGAGACAGAGGGUAGCCAUAGCCCGGGCACUGUACUCUAACGCCCGCACUGUAAUACUGGAUGCCCCCUUCUCCGCCCUGGACGUCGGGGUCAGCACUCAGGUGUGGGAGGAAGGUAUCCGUCAGCUUCUCCUGCGCCGCCGAAGGACUGUUAUCCUCGCUACCCACCUCACACACCUCACACGCCAGGCUGACAAGAUCAUCUACCUAGAGGGCGGCAGGAUCGUACUUCAAGGGAGUCCUGCGGAGGUGUCCAAGGCGUCCCCAAGGCUGUGGCAGGAGUGGGGGGCCAAGGAGGGCGUGGUGGCUGUAGGAGGGGAGAGCAAAGGACGCCUCGAGGGACGUACUGCCAUGGAGAGGUGGACACUCCUUCGUCUGGUGACCCGCAUCACUAUACAGAGGACCUCAGUGUGUAGAGACGUGAGGAGGGAGAGUGUGGAGGAGAACAAGGAGGAGAACUACGGCCAACAUACUCUCGAUAGUCGACUCAUGAGGCAAUACAGUGUUAACCGCCACGUCUCCCACAAUGCCCUGCUACCUGGUGACGAGUGUGAGUACCUACCAGCACUCACCCCGCCACUCUCUCGUCACUCCUUCCACCACACGCACUCACCCAAACUCCAGCUCUUCAGAAUUAAGUCCAGUGCUCCAGCCUUUGGUCGUAAGUCAUCACAGUUCCAGCGAGCACGACUCCCUCGCCACGCCAAGAGUCUGCCCCCCCAACCACGCCCCCUACCCCGGAUGAGGUCCUCCCCAGCCGUGGUACCUCAGGGGAACAUGCUACACAGGCUCUUCUCCAACGCCUCUAUCAAGACCUCCAAGUGCCCUAGCACCUCGGGAACAGACAAAUGGCACCUCGGCCGUAUCCUCUCCUCCUCCAACAACCUGGGAGACGACUUGGAGGAGGACCUAGAGCUGGAGGAGGAGGUGCCCCUUGAGGAGGAAGUGGAGGACGGGCGCCUGAUGGGGGAGGAGGACAGAGAGAGAGGACGAAUCUCCAAGUGGAACUACAUGGUGUACCUGAAGGCGUGUGGACUCGGUCUCGGCUUGAGCUACCUCUUCUGUGCCUUUGUUGGUCAGGGAGUCUCCGUGGGGCUGGACUUAUGGUUGAAGAACUGGUCGGGUGAGGCCAGGUCCUGGAACACGACGGAACUCAGUAACUGGCAGGCCUUCAGGGACUACCAGACACAGAGGGACGAUGACACCGUCGGCAGGAGGAGGACCUUCAACAUAGACCCUCACGUUCUGCACAUCCGAGAGAGAUACAACGCCUUUAUCGUAGAGACGAUGCACUACUACUACCGCAUCUACGCCAUCCUCUCCGUGGUAUCCAUUCUCUUCUCCCUCUCCACCAAUCUCCUGGGCCAGUUCGCUGCAGCUCGGGGUAGGAAGUGUCUCCACCAGAAUAUGUUGGAGAACCUCAUUCAUUGUCCCAUCAGGUUCUUCGACACCACCCCCGCUGGCAGGAUCAUGAACCGCUUCACCACAGACACCGCCAUGAUUGAUAAGGAGCUGGCCAGGUCGUUGACACAUCUGUUGUUCUUUGUGUUGAUGGUCGCGUCGGCGGUGCUGGUGAACGUGGCCGUCACUCCCUACUUUUUAGCCGCCGCCGUCCCCAUCUGCGCCCUGUACUAUGGCGUUCAAAAGUUCUUCAGGUGUUCCUCAAGAGAGCUGAAGCGCCUGGAGAGCUUGUCACGGUCGCCUCUCUACAGCCACCUGAGCGAGAGUGUCGGCGGGGCGGUGGUGAUCAGAGCUUAUGGGGACCAGCGUAGGUUUACAGACGUCCUCCUUCACCGCCUCGACACACACCUCACAGCCUUCACCCUCCUACAUGCCGGGAACCGCUGGCUGGGGAUAUGUCUGGAUUACAUCGGCGGGUUAAUCGUGUUCUUCGCCACCUCCGCCUCACUCCUCUACUCCACCGUCGCUAGCCACAAGCUCGGUCCCGCUAUGGUCGGUCUGGCCAUCAACUACACGCUGCUGGUGCCCGUCUAUCUCAACUGGGUAGUGAGGUUCUUAGCUGAUACUGAGAUGUGUCUUAAUGCAGUGGAACGCGUCCAACACUACGCCUCCUUACCGCGUGAAGAGAAGACCUGUCGCAGCACCGUUAAUGAGACUGUAGAGACAUUGCCUCACUACCGUCGACGAACCAGCCAGAUGAGUCAUAGAUCCUGGAGGUCUAGGUCAUCGUCUGAGUCAGGGUCAAGUAGGAGGUCAUCAGGGUUACCUCCCGGCUGGCCCUUGGAGGGUAAGGUGGAGUUCCGUGAUGUCACAUUGACUCAUGACCCCAGCCUUGACCCCGUGCUGACCGGCCUCAACUUCACCAUCAAGCCCGGAGAGAAGGUAGGGUUGUGUGGCCGUACAGGUAGCGGGAAGAGCUCAUUAAUCCUGAGUCUGUACCGCUUGGUGGAGGCUCGUCACGGCACCAUCCAGGUAGACGGCACUAACAUACAGCACGUGCCUCUCUCACUGCUCCGUGGCUCUAUCUCAGUCAUCCCGCAGGACACCCACCUCUUCUGCGGCACCCUCAGGUUCAACUUGGACCCAUUAGGACAGCGGCCAGACGAUCACCUGUGGAAGGCGCUGGAGGUGGCCCAGCUCCAGUCACUGGUGUCAGAGAUGCCCGAGGGUUUAGAGACCCAAGUGAGGGAAGGUGGCAGUAAUUUCAGCGCCGGACAACGUCAGCUCUUCUGUGUGGCGAGGGCAGUACUGAGGCGCUCCUCCCUCCUCAUACUCGACGAGGCUACUUCCGCCCUCGACACCUCCACCGAGAAGGCUCUCCACCACGCCCUCCACACCGCCUUCGCCCACGCCACUGUCAUCACUAUAGCAGUCCACUGUAAAUGUUCGUGUCAACUGUCAGCCUGUCAUUUGUUGGACCAAAACUUGUAAACAAACUCAGCUGGCAGAGAAGUCCAGCCGAAUUAUGGACGAUUACACGUUAUUGGUAAUUGGAAAAUAGGUGAAACAGAUGCUGGGUGCUAGGCCGCCUCAACACUGCCAGUCACCAUAGCAGCACAGCCUACCUGGGACACCACCCAAGCAACUCUCUAGCGAUGGACCCAAACUCUGCACCUCCAGCUCAGCAGACUCCACUCCUCCAGCUCAGCAGACUCCACUCCUCCAGCUCAGCAGACUCCACUCCUCCAGCUCAGCAGACU
rnacentral:misc_RNA from 1 species